rnacentral:rRNA from 1 species
GACGAACGCUGGCGGCGUGCUUAACACAUGCAAGUCGAACGGAAAGGCCCUGCUCUUGUGGGGUGCUCGAGUGGCGAACGGGUGAGUAACACGUGAGUAACCUGCCCUUGACUUUGGGAUAACUUCAGGAAACUGGGGCUAAUAUCGGAUAGGAGCUCCUGCUGCAUGGUGGGGGUUGGAAAGUUUCGGCGGUUGGGGAUGGACUCGCGGCUUAUCAGCCUGUUGGUGGGGUAGUGGCUUACCAAGGCUUUGACGGGUAGCCGGCCUGGGAGGGUGACCGGCCGCAUUGGGACUAAGAGACGGACCAGACGCCUACGGGAGGCAGCAGUGGAGAAUAUUGCACAAUGGGCGGGAGCCUGAUGCAGCAGCGCCGCGUUCGUGAUGACGUCCUUCGGGUUGUAAACCGCUUUCGCCUGUGACGAGGCGUGAUUGACGGUAAUGGGUAAAGAAGCACCGGCUAACUACGUG